ACGAACGCUGGCGGCAUGCCUCACACAUGCAAGUCGAACGCGACCUUCGGGUCUAGUGGCGCACGGGUGCGUAACGCGUGGGAACCUGCCCUUAGGUUCGGAAUAACUCCCCGAAAGGGGUGCUAAUACCGGAUAAUGUCUUCGGACCAAAGAUUUAUCGCCUUUGGAUGGGCCCGCGUUGGAUUAGCUAGUUGGUAGGGUAAAAGCCUACCAAGGCGACGAUCCAUAGCUGGUCUGAGAGGAUGAUCAGCCACACUGGGACUGAGACACGGCCCAGACUCCUACGGGAGGCAGCAGUGGGGAAUACUGGACAAUGGGCGAAAGCCUGAUCCAGCAAUGCCGCGUGAGUGAUGAAGGCCUUAGGGUUGUAAAGCUCUUUUACCCGGGAUGAUAAUGACAGUACCGGGAGAAUAAGCUCCGGCUAACUCCGUG
rnacentral:rRNA from 1 species